CUCAGAGAUCACUCUCCAGAGAUCUGAGUCCCGGGCGCGCAAGCAGAGGGAACACUUUAUAGUCUGUUACUUCCGCAUUCCGUAUUAGUAGUAAUUUGGCGGGCUUGGCAAGCGGGGUAGGAACAAGAACCCGGAAGGGGAGUUUUUAGUCGGGGACUGGAAAUUCCCUAUCAGUCCUGUCAGCCAUCUUAUAAGAUUUUUCCCUACCAUUAGUAUAUUUGGGUUUUCAGUCUCAUUGGAGUUAACACAUAGUAACAGUGUAUUGCAUAUAUAAUUUGCAAAAUGCUUUUCACUUAGAGCAGUAUAUUCAGUCUCCCAACAGCUCAAGACACAUUUGUUGAUCUUCUUUUCAGACUGAGAGACUUGCUGGGGGCAGAACAGAUACUGGUGACUACUGUCUUUGAUUUUCCCAUGCCUACUCCUUUGUCCCUUCGUUCUGAGAAAAUAACACCUACGUCACUUCAUUGACUUGCUGGGAGGACCAAAUGCAAUGCUGUACACCAUUCAAAAGAUGAGGAGACUGGAGCUCAGAGCAUCAGAUGACUCUCCCAAUAUCUUAAGUCAGAAUGAACAGCAUCAAGAUGCAAACCCAGGUCUCCCGACACCAGCCACCAGGUUCUUGGCAUUAUACCACUCUGCCUUUCUUAAAAUAAGAAUGUCAUACGCUUGUGACAGCACAUCUGUUGAAAGAACAGAACUGUCUGUACCUUGCAGGAAAUUGCGUUUGCAGGGGAACUAGUGUCUUCAAAUCAGGCAAGCUCAGUUUCAGGAAGUCAAGGACAGUCUGAAGCAUCAAGGCCAGUGGAAGGAAAUGAUGCGGGGAGAGAUGCAAGAUUUGAGGCAGACACUGGAGGUAAAUCCUGAGGAAACAGUAAG